CGGACGGGGGAGUAAUGUCUGGGAAACUGCCUGAUGGAGGGGGAUAACUACUGGAAACGGUAGCUAAUACCGCAUAACGUCGCAAGACCAAAGAGGGGGACCUUCGGGCCUCUUGCCAUCGGAUGUGCCCAGAUGGGAUUAGCUAGUAGGUGGGGUAACGGCUCACCUAGGCGACGAUCCCUAGCUGGUCUGAGAGGAUGACCAGCCACACCGGAACUGAGACACGGUCCAG
rnacentral:rRNA from 1 species